AAUGAACGUUGGCGGCAGGCUUAACACAUGCAAGUCGAGCGGGUCCUUCGGGGUCAGCGGCGAACGGGUGAGUAACGCGUGGGAACGUGCCCUUUUUUCUGGACUAGCCUCGGGAAAAUGAGAUUAAUGCCGGAUACGCCCUUUUGGGGACAGUUUUAUCGGGGAAGGAUCGGCCCGCGUUGGCUUAGGCAGUUGGUGGGGUAACGGCCUACCAAGCCGACGAUCCCUAGCUGGGUGUAGGGGAUGAUCAGCCACACUGGGACUGAUACACGGCCCAGACUCCUACGGGAGGCAUCAGUGGGGAAGCUUGGACAAUGGGGGCAAGCUGGAUCCAGCCAUUCCGCGUGAGCGAUGAAGGCCUUAGGGUUGUAAAGCUCUUUCAGCGGGGAAGAUAAUGACGGUACCCGCAGAAGAAGCCCCGACUAACUCCGUGCCAGCAGCCGCGGUAA
rnacentral:rRNA from 1 species